rnacentral:rRNA from 1 species
CCUACGGGAGGCAGCAGUAGGGAAUCUUCCGCAAUGGACGAAAGUCUGACGGAGCAACGCCGCGUGAGCGAUGAAGGCCUUCGGGUCGUAAAGCUCUGUUGUCAGGGAAGAACAAGUACCGGAGUAACUGCCGGUACCUUGACGGUACCUGACCAGAAAGCCACGGCUAACUACGUGCCAGCAGCCGCGGUAAUACGUAGGUGGCAAGCGUUAUCCGGAAUUAUUGGGCGUAAAGCGCGCGCAGGCGGUUUCUUAAGUCUGAUGUGAAAGCCCACGGCUCAACCGUGGAGGGUCAUUGGAAACUGGGGAACUUGAGUGCAGAAGAGAAAAGCGGAAUUCCACGUGUAGCGGUGAAAUGCGUAGAGAUGUGGAGGAACACCAGUGGCGAAGGCGGCUUUUUGGUCUGUAACUGACGCUGAGGCGCGAAAGCGUGGGGAGCAAACAGGAUUAGAUACCCUGGUAGUCCACGCCGUAAACGAUGAGUGCUAAGUGUUAGAGGGUUUCCGCCCUUUAGUGCUGCAGCUAACGCAUUAAGCACUCCGCCUGGGGAGUACGGUCGCAAGACUGAAACUCAAAGGAAUUGACGG